rnacentral:rRNA from 1 species
UAUAACCGGCGAUUUCCGAAUGGGGAAACCCAGUGUGAUUCGUCACACUAUCAUUAACUGAAUCCAUAGGUUAAUGAGGCGAACCGGGGGAACUGAAACAUCUAAGUACCCCGAGGAAAAGAAAUCAACCGAGAUUCCCCCAGUAGCGGCGAGCGAACGGGGAGGAGCCCAGAGCCUGAAUCAGUGUGUGUGUUAGUGGAAGCGUCUGGAAAGGCGCGCGAUACAGGGUGACAGCCCCGUACACAAAAAUGCACAUACUGUGAGCUCGAUGAGUAGGGCGGGACACGUGGUAUCCUGUCUGAAUAUGGGGGGACCAUCCUCCAAGGCUAAAUACUCCUGACUGACCGAUAGUGAACCAGUACCGUGAGGGAAAGGCGAAAAGAACCCCGGCGAGGGGAGUGAAAAAGAACCUGAAACCGUGUACGUACAAGCAGUGGGAGCCUCUUAAUGGGGUGACUGCGUACCUUUUGUAUAAUGGGUCAGCGACUUAUAUUCUGUAGCAAGGUUAACCGAAUAGGGGAGCCGAAGGGAAACCGAGUCUUAACUGGGCGUUAAGUUGCAGGGUAUAGACCCGAAACCCGGUGAUCUAGCCAUGGGCAGGUUGAAGGUUGGGUAACACUAACUGGAGGACCGAACCGACUAAUGUUGAAAAAUUAGCGGAUGACUUGUGGCUGGGGGUGAAAGGCCAAUCAAACCGGGAGAUAGCUGGUUCUCCCCGAAAGCUAUUUAGGUAGCGCCUCGUGAAUUCAUCUCCGGGGGUAGAGCACUGUUUCGGCAAGGGGGUCAUCCCGACUUACCAACCCGAUGCAAACUGCGAAUACCGGAGAAUGUUAUCACGGGAGACACACGGCGGGUGCUAACGUCCGUCGUGAAGAGGGAAACAACCCAGACCGCCAGCUAAGGUCCCAAAGUCAUGGUUAAGUGGGAAACGAUGUGGGAAGGCCCAGACAGCCAGGAUGUUGGCUUAGAAGCAGCCAUCAUUUAAAGAAAGCGUAAUAGCUCACUGGUCGAGUCGGCCUGCGCGGAAGAUGUAACGGGGCUAAACCAUGCACCGAAGCUGCGGCAGCGACGCUGAUGCGUUGUUGGGUAGGGGAGCGUUCUGUAAGCCUGUGAAGGUGGCCUGUGAGGGUUGCUGGAGGUAUCAGAAGUGCGAAUGCUGACAUAAGUAACGAUAAAGCGGGUGAAAAGCCCGCUCGCCGGAAGACCAAGGGUUCCUGUCCAACGUUAAUCGGGGCAGGGUGAGUCGACCCCUAAGGCGAGGCCGAAAGGCGUAGUCGAUGGGAAACAGGUUAAUAUUCCUGUACUUGGUGUUACUGCGAAGGGGGGACGGAGAAGGCUAUGUUGGCCGGGCGACGGUUGUCCCGGUUUAAGCGUGUAGGCUGGUUUUCCAGGCAAAUCCGGAAAAUCAAGGCUGAGGCGUGAUGACGAGGCACUACGGUGCUGAAGCGACAAAUGCCCUGCUUCCAGGAAAAGCCUCUAAGCAUCAGGUAACAUCAAAUCGUACCCCAAACCGACACAGGUGGUCAGGUAGAGAAUACCAAGGCGCUUGAGAGAACUCGGGUGAAGGAACUAGGCAAAAUGGUGCCGUAACUUCGGGAGAAGGCACGCUGAUAUGUAGGUGAAGCGACUUGCUCGUGGAGCUGAAAUCAGUCGAAGAUACCAGCUGGCUGCAACUGUUUAUUAAAAACACAGCACUGUGCAAACACGAAAGUGGACGUAUACGGUGUGACGCCUGCCCGGUGCCGGAAGGUUAAUUGAUGGGGUUAGCGGUAACGCGAAGCUCUUGAUCGAAGCCCCGGUAAACGGCGGCCGUAACUAUAACGGUCCUAAGGUAGCGAAAUUCCUUGUCGGGUAAGUUCCGACCUGCACGAAUGGCGUAAUGAUGGCCAGGCUGUCUCCACCCGAGACUCAGUGAAAUUGAACUCGCUGUGAAGAUGCAGUGUACCCGCGGCAAGACGGAAAGACCCCGUGAACCUUUACUAUAGCUUGACACUGAACAUUGAGCCUUGAUGUGUAGGAUAGGUGGGAGGCUUUGAAGUGUGGACGCCAGUCUGCAUGGAGCCGACCUUGAAAUACCACCCUUUAAUGUUUGAUGUUCUAACGUGGGCCCCUUACCGGGGUUGCGGACAGUGUCUGGUGGGUAGUUUGACUGGGGCGGUCUCCUCCUAAAGAGUAACGGAGGAGCACGAAGGUUGGCUAAUCCUGGUCGGACAUCAGGAGGUUAGUGCAAUGGCAUAAGCCAGCUUGACUGCGAGCGUGACGGCGCGAGCAGGUGCGAAAGCAGGUCAUAGUGAUCCGGUGGUUCUGAAUGGAAGGGCCAUCGCUCAACGGAUAAAAGGUACUCCGGGGAUAACAGGCUGAUACCGCCCAAGAGUUCAUAUCGACGGCGGUGUUUGGCACCUCGAUGUCGGCUCAUCACAUCCUGGGGCUGAAGUAGGUCCCAAGGGUAUGGCUGUUCGCCAUUUAAAGUGGUACGCGAGCUGGGUUUAGAACGUCGUGAGACAGUUCGGUCCCUAUCUGCCGUGGGCGCUGGAGAACUGAGGGGGGCUGCUCCUAGUACGAGAGGACCGGAGUGGACGCAUCACUGGUGUUCGGGUUGUCAUGCCAAUGGCACUGCCCGGUAGCUAAAUGCGGAAGAGAUAAGUGCUGAAAGCAUCUAAGCACGAAACUUGCCCCGAGAUGAGUUCUCCCUGAGACUUAGAGUCUCCUGAAGGAACGUUGAAGACGACGACGUUGAUAGGCCGGGUGUGUAAGCGCAGCGAUGCGUUGAGCUAACCGGUACUAAUGAACCGUGAGGCUUAACCU